AGUCAUCAAAUCAAUAUCAGACUCUGCAAUGGUAUCAGAGUCUGAGUAGUCUGAUUUGUCGAGGGAGAUCUCCAGAAACUCCAAAUCAGAUGAAUUUCCCGAAGACGAGAUUACGCCGUUUCUUCUCAGGAAUGACGUUCCUGUUAUACCCAGUGCAACGAUCACGUAGUGAUCUUGAAUGAUGGCUUUGAGGCGAUUCAUGGCCGCCGGCUAUUUGAUUGGAUGUGCGCACGGUGCAGGGCCUAUCGUCCUAGCAACAUGGAUCAACGUAAUGCUUUGGGUAAUGACCCGUAUCCACCCGUAUGAGCAAAAGCUCAUGGUGAAUGGAUUCGCCUCCCUGCUCCCCGAAAAAGCCCGAAGGAAAUUUCCAGCGUGUCAUGAAUUCCACGGCGUGGUGCUCCAGCAAGGGGUUGGGUUUUGCGGUAUUGCGACAUUUGCCCUUUUUUGUACGAGAUUGCGGUAAAAGAGCAGAAAACAUACUGUGAUGCGGUAUUUCUUCGACCUCUAACUUAUGAAAUAAAGCUGAGGUAUUCAGAAUUAAGGUUCAAGCCUUGUAUCAUUAACAUACUGUAAUAAUAAGCUAAUAAAAGACAAACUUAUAUCGCUCUAAACUAGUAAAAUUGAGCUUCUAGGGAAGAAAAACCACCACAGACGGAUAAAUUUCCAUCCCAACUAAGUUUAUUUCAUGAAUUAGAGGUCGAAGAUACACUCAUAGAUGUUUAUUUGCCACUGGACGAAAAAACGGAUUUACACAACUUUGCCUAUCGCGCAAAUAUGAUGUAAAUAUCAGGCACUAUAUUUGGUGCCUGAUUUGCUUUGGUAGUAAACGUGUAUACAAAUUUUAUAUUUGCAUGUUGUGCAAACACUUUUCAAAGAUCAACUUUGAUUAAUUUGCUUGGAUGUUAAAUUUGUAUGUAAAUUUCAUGUUUGUAUUUUGUGCAAAUAACAUUUCAAAGAUCAACUUUGACUGAUUUGCUUGGAUGGUAAAUUUUUAUGUAAAUUUCAUGUUUUUAUUUUGUGCAAAUACAGUUCAAAGAUCAACUUUGAAUAAUUUGCUUGGGUUGUAAAUUUGUAUGUAAAUUUCAUGUUUGUAUUUUGUGCAAAUACAGUUCAAAGAUCAAAUUUAGAUUUGCAUGGAUUUACACUCACUAGAUUAUCUUUACUUAUAUCUGCAAGGUGUGUUUUAAUAUCACUUAGUGUUUGACGGUGACAGUCGUGUGCGACAAAUUGUUUUGUUGUCGCUUUUAGUAGGCCAAACAUCUAAAAUCAUCAUCAAGAUACUAGUGAAAAU